rnacentral:rRNA from 1 species
GAUGAACGCUAGCUACAGGCUUAACACAUGCAAGUCGAGGGGAAACGACAUCGAAAGCUUGCUUUGAUGGGCGUCGACCGGCGCACGGGUGAGUAACGCGUAUCCAACCUGCCCGUCACUUGGGGAUAACCUUGCGAAAGUAAGACUAAUACCCAAUGAUAUCCCACGAAGGCAUCCGAAUGGGAUUAAAGAUUUAUCGGUGAUGGAUGGGGAUGCGUCUGAUUAGCUUGUUGGCGGGGUAACGGCCCACCAAGGCAACGAUCAGUAGGGGGUUCUGAGAGGAAGGUCCCCCACAUUGGAACUGAGACACGGUCCAAACUCCUACGGGAGGCAGCAGUGAGGAAUAUUGGUCAAUGGGCGAGAGCCUGAACCAGCCAAGUAGCGUGCAGGAUGACGGCCCUAUGGGUUGUAAACUGCUUUUAUAGGGGAAUAAAGUGAGCCACGUGUGGUUUUUGCAUGUACCCUAUGAAUAAGGACCGGCUAAUUCCGUG